UUUGUGAGCUAAUUUUUCAUACUCUUGAAAUUUCCUUUUAUUUCUUUUUAUCUCGUUUUAGUAACAUUAUUUUGUUCUUUUUCCUUCAAUACAGCGGGUAUUCCUUGUAACGAUGAUGUUGAUUGUCCACAGACUCUGUGUGAACAGUUAAUUGCCGACUUCAAGUAUAUGAUAGAUUUUAAGUCGGAGUGUGUUUCCCGUAUGUGUGCAUGUACCGGAAGUCCCGUUUAAGCUGCACUGGUGGUUGGUUUUGGUUCAAAAUGGAACAAUGAAAAAUACCUUUAAUAUUGGGUUGCUUAUAUAUUUUCACCAUAGAUGUGGAAAUCAUAAUAGGCUAUUAAUAAAAUUAUAAAUUAUACAUGUGGCCUUUAAAUAUCUUUUCUACGUACCCUUGUUAUUAAUUAAUUACUAAAAUCAAAAGAAAUUUCCUUCUCAAUUACAUGUCGUUGAGUUUUCCACCUAGAUAUGUGUUGUAUUUUUUUAUCUUAUUAAAAUAACAUAAAAUCUUAUUUACUCUCAAUCAAAAUCAAUCUAGAAUAUAAGGGUGUCUCUAUGUACUUCUCUAGGUGUGUGUUUAAUUGUUUUUUUUGUUGCAUAUAUGCAAAUAUCAAGUCAUAAAAACAUGUUUUACCUUAAUAAACACAACCAGGUGUUACUAAAAAAAUAUAAUCAUAAAAACCUAUAAUGAAAUAUAGAUAUACAAAUCAAGGAUAGAGGGAAAAGAAAUAUCUUCAAAUAAUAGAUGGAAAAUAGUGUUUUAUUUCUUUCUUCAUUACGAGAACUACGAUCUUUGGCUCUGGAACUGAAUCAUUUCCUUGUAUCUGAGAAAGACUUCCAGAUUCAAAGGAAGGAAGUUUAAUUGGACUGAAUCAGAAAUUUUAUUCUAUGAUUGAUCAGUAUAAACAUCAACACCUUCGAAUUGGAUCAGUUUCUCCUGAACAAAUAAGUGCUUGGGCAAAAAAAAUCCUACCUAAUGGAGAAAUUGUUGGAGAGGUAACAAAACCCUAUACUCUUCAUUACAAAACCAAUAAGCCUGAAAAAGAUGGAUUAUUUUGUGAACGAAUUUUUGGGCCUAUAAAAAGUGGGAUUUGUGCUUGUGGAAAUUAUCGAGUAAUCGGAGAUAAAAAAGACCAACCCAAAUUUUGUGAACAAUGCGGAGUAGAAUUUGUUGAUUCUCGGGUACGUAGGUAUCAAAUGGGGUAUAUAAAACUAGCAUGUCCAGUAACCCAUGUAUGGUAUUUGAAACGUCUUCCUAGUUAUAUUGCGAGCCUUUUAGAUAAACCUCUUAAAGAAUUAGAAGGUCUAGUAUACUGCGAUGUGUGAUUUGAUAAAAAUUCUUAUUGUACAGAUUUCAAAUGAGAAACUGUCAUUCCAUUCAAUUAAAUUGGAAUGUCCUCUAUCUGGCAUGUCUCUUGGGAUGAGUAACAUGAAGCUCAGAAUUCAUGGGUGUAUUGAAUACUCCCAAAUCAAUAAGGGAAUUGGUCUAUGGUCAAUUCAGUAACAAAUAAAUAUUUAUUUAUAACCGUACGUACCUUGUGAAAAAAAAAAAAUUAUUUUUUUGUGGAAUUAAUUAUUUCAUCUCUUUUUUUUUUAAGAACUUAAAUUAAGUUCAAAGAAUAAAAUAUAAUAUAUCAUGAUUGCCGAAGUCUAUCUAUCGCAUAUAGGCUUAAAGACAUCGUGGCAUAACCGUCGAGGUGACGUCUUGACCUAAAAGAUCAAAUGGUAUGAUACAUAGACAAAGAAAUCUCUUAUGAAUUCGAGGAUAUUCCUUUUUUUUAUUAAAAAGUAUAUUUUAAAGGAUUCUUCGUUCGAAGGGAGGUAGACUACUCAAGAAUUUUACAUUGAAUUUCUGUCGUAAUUUCGAAUUGCAUAAAGAAUUCAGAAACAAAGAAGAAUGUAUCAAUGAAAUGUUGCUUCGUCUGUAUUGAUAACUUGAGUAAAGAGUAAACCUUUUUUAUUUUAGAUUUAGAGGUUUUCAAAAAUUUGAAAACGGAAACCACUUUCUUUAUCUUUAUUGUGUGUAAAUACUUUAGCCGGAUGAGAGGAAACCCUCACGUCCGAUUUUCAAAGGGGGAGAUCCAUCUUAUUGGAUCCUAUCCAAAUUUUUCGUUUGCUAGGCCCGUAGUUAAAAAACCUACUUUCUUACGAUUACGAGGUUCAUUCGAAUACGAAAUCCAAUCUUGGAAAUACAGUAUCCCACUCUUUUUUGCUACUCAAGGUUUCGAUACAUUUCGAAAUAGAGAAAUUUCUAGUGGAGCAGGUGCUAUACGAGAACAAUUAGUUGAUUUGGAUUUAAGAAUUAUUAUGGAUUCUUCGUUGGUAGAAUGGAAAGAAUUAGGAGAAGAGGGAUCCGCCGACAAUGAAAAUGAAAAUGAAUGGGAAGAUCGAAAAGUAGGAAGAAGAAAGAAUUUUUUGGUUCGACGCAUGGAAUUAGUUAAGCACUUUAUCCGAACAAAUAUAGAACCAGAAUGGAUGGUUUUAUCUCUCUUACCAGUUCUUCCUCCCGAAUUGAGACCAAUUAUUCAAAUAGAUGGAGGGAAACUAAUGAGUUCGGAUAUUAAUGAACUCUAUAGAAGAGUUAUCUAUCGGAACAAUACUCUUAUUGACCUAUUAACAACAAGUAGAUCUACACCAGGGGAAUUAGUAAUGUGUCAAGAAAAAUUGGUACAAGAAGCCGUGGAUACACUCCUUGAUAAUGGAAUCCGCGGACAACCAAUGAGGGACGGUCAUAAUAAAGUUUACAAAUCGUUUUCAGAUAUAAUUGAGGGCAAAGAGGGAAGAUUUCGAGAGACUCUGCUUGGAAAACGAGUUGAUUAUUCGGGGCGUUCUGUUAUUGUCGUAGGUCCAUCACUUUCAUUACAUCGAUGUGGAUUGCCCCGCGAAAUAGCAAUAGAGCUAUUUCAGACAUUUCUAAUUCGUGGUUUAAUUCGAAAACAUUUUGCUUCGAACAUAGGAGUUGCUAAGAGUAAAAUACGGGAAAAAGAACCGAUUGUAUGGGAAAUACUUCAAGAAGUUAUGCGGGGGCAUCCAGUAUUGCUGAAUAGAGCGCCUACUUUGCAUAGAUUGGGCAUACAGGCAUUUCAACCUAUUUUAGUAGAAGGACGUGCUAUUUGUUUACAUCCAUUAGUGUGUAAGGGAUUCAAUGCAGACUUUGAUGGGGAUCAAAUGGCUGUUCAUGUGCCUUUAUCUUUGGAGGCUCAAGCAGAAGCUCGUUUACUUAUGUUUUCUCAUACAAACCUCUUGUCUCCGGCUAUUGGGGAUCCCAUUUCCGUACCAACUCAAGAUAUGCUUAUAGGACUUUACGUAUUAACUAGCGGAAAUCGUCGAGGUAUUUGUGCAAACAGGUAUAAUCCGUUUAAUUGCCGAAAUUCUAAAAAUGAAAAAAUUAGCAAUAAUAACUCUAAGUAUAUGAAAAAAAAAGAACCCUUUUUUUGCAAUUCCUAUGAUGCAAUUGGAGCUUAUCGACAGAAAAGAAUAAAUUUAGAUAGUCCUUUUUGGCUCCGGUGGCGAAUAGAUCAAUGCAUUAUGUCUUCAAGAGAAGUUCCUAUCGAAGUUCACUAUGAAUCUUUUGGUACCUAUUAUGAAAUUUAUGGGCAUUAUUUAGUAAUAAGAAGUAUAAAAAAAGAAAUUCGUUGUAUAUACAUUAGAACCACUGUUGGUCAUAUUUCUUUUUAUCGAGAAAUUGAAGAAGCUAUACAAGGUUUUUCUCGAGCCUAUUCAUAUGGUAUCUAAUCAUAUAGAUGGUUAGUGUUGAUAUCCAAGCUAGGUAAAUUUAUGUUAUGAUACUGGCGUAAAUUCAGGUCAACUAGCAUCUUUUCUAUUUUCUACGUGAAUAAACAUAAAGAAAAGGAAGUUUUCCAAUCAUUCACUCAAAUUCAUUGUCGAACCGAAUCCCACUGAGUGGAAUAUGGAGGUACUUAUGGCAGAACGGGCCAAUCUAGUCUUUCACUUUCUUCCAUGCUUAGUGCGCAUGAUAGAAAGAGUCGAGCUUUGGAGUUUAGAAGUACUUUUUCUUUAUCUUCCUUUGACCAUGAUGCUUCUGGUGUGAGUGUAUCCACCUUUGUUGUUGCAUCAGUUGUCAUAGGUAUAUGUUCUCCAUUUGUGAUUAUUUUCCACAUAUCCACGUCUUGGGAUCUGAGGAAUAGUUUCAUUUUUCCUUUCCAGAAAUAAUAGUUCUUUCCAUUGAAGAAUGGUGGUCUUGUGCAUGAUAGACCUUCUGGUAUGUACUUUUCUUUUGACAUUGCCUUCUUCCUGAAUCUUUUCCUCCAACACUUGUUAGGUGUUUUUGUAGAGCCCGGGCUCUGAUACCAAUUAAAGUAGCAAUAAACGUCACAAGAAAGGGGGGGUUUGAAUUGUGACCCUUUUAAAAAUUAUUCCUGAAACUUAAGUUUAGAUUUAUAUACUCAAGAAUAAUCUUGGUGUAUGUUAGCUUAACAAGAUUAGAGUAUAUAACAAUUAAUUGAAUUUAGAACAGAACAUUCUGAAGACUGAUUAUAAACAGAAUGAGAAAAAUGAUGUUAAGUUAAAAGAUUAUUUUAGCAAGGACCAGAAUGUUCUGGAGAUUAAUAAAAUAAUGUGUGUGUGUGUUGUGUAACUUUAAAUAAAGAGAGAGAUAGAGAUAGAGAGAGAGAGAGAGAAGAAUAACACAGGAGAGUUAUCCUGGUUCACCAAACCCGGCUACUUCCAGUCCCCACACCUCGUGUGAGAUUAUCCACUAUAGUUUUCUUGCUAACAGAAACUUCUGACUAGCACUACAAUAUCUUGAUCACACCAGAUCAGUCCGUAACCUCUGUAUUAUCAACCUCAGCAGGCUUAUACAAUUCUUUGCACACUAGCAAAAGAAAGGUUGGAAUUUUCUAUCUCAAAACUAUUAAGCCCAAUAGACUUUGAGAAAUACAACACUCUUUGUAUGAAGAGAUUUGUUUUGGAUCGAAUAAAUACUCAAAUCUUUGUUUGAGUUUUACAAGAGGCAAAUUCAAGAGAGAUGAUCCAAGAGAUAUAGUGAGAGAGCUUGGAAUUUGCUUUGUUUGUGAAGAGCUUUGUUUGUAGUGAUGAUUUUCACUUUGAGAGAUAUUAGCUUGCAAAACUCUUGCUUAUGACCUUCAAAGGCCCUUGUAUUUAUAGGUGAGGAGUGUCUUGGUACCAAGGGAGAAAAUAGAGCUGUUGGACACGUUUUUGAUAGCUGUCCAAAGUCUCAAUUGAUUUCUCUUUUCUUCUUUAAAAUAGCCAGAACGUUCUCAGAAUGUUCUUUCUGAUUUGCCUGACUUAGAAAGCACUGUUGCUUUGCUUGCGCAUGAGAUAACCAGCUGUGAUGAGCUGUAUAACUUGCAGCCCACUUCUGAUGAUGUCAUGUCCUUUUGCUCUAGUGAUGUCAUGCUUAAGUAAGCCAUGUGAUCUUAUCCAUUUAAUGGGCUUUACUUUUUCAAAUGGGCUUAAAGCUUUUCUUAUGGCCCAAUAGACAUAAUCAGCCAAGCUUUCUUGCUGUGCAGACUUGUUCGCUUUUGAUGUACUGUUCCAUUUUCAUCGUUUUCGCCAGAACGUUCUCAAUUCAUUCUCAUGAAACAAAUUCUCACAAAAACGAAUUAGUAGAUAACAAGAUUAAAUAAAUAUAAUAUGUUUGUAAUCUUUAAAACAUCAAAUAAGGAUUUUGUCUCAACAACUUUGUCCUCCGCACGAUUUAUUAGGAGCUUUGUCCUCCGCACGUUUAAAGUAUAUUAAUACUUAUGAUGACGAUUGGUACCACAUGCAUAUAAGGAGUCUAAGAGCAUUGUCGCAUUGUCGUGUCUAAGAUGCUAUGUUGUUGAUGAUGAUUGAAUAUGUGAUUACGUGAUAAUUGUUUAUCAAAUAUGCAAAGUUGUUUAAGAUUGAAUAUGAUGUUAAUGUUAAUUUAUGAUUCGAAUUACAUUGAUUAAUAUUAUUUUGUUAUGAAAUCUCACCCCUUCUGCUUGAAAAUGUUGCCCUUCGUAUGGGUAACUUGCAGGUGAUCGUGCUUAGUGUGCAGUUUGCCGUUGUGAGUGGCCUUGCCUCGCUGUGUCGUCUAGGUCGCUCUGAUACGUAACGGGAUGGGGUUUUAUGUUAUGCAUGCUUCAUUCUCUUACGUAACUAAUAUGUUAUUUUUAUAAUAUUAUCAAUUAUGAUUUGAAAUAUUUUGAUGGGGCCUGCGUGCCGAAACGUUUUAUGGAUUAUGAUAUAAUUUCCGCUGCAAUGUUUAAGUUAUUUGGUUAAAUUAUUAUUUAACUGUUUUGGAUUAUGUUAUAUGUGAUAUCCCGUUGUUUACGAUGCUUACUCUGAUAAAUGUUUUAAGAAAUUUUUAUAUUGGGAAAACGGAGUGUUACAGAAACUCCCCCUAUAAAUACCGCAUUCCUCAUUCACAAUUUCUCAUUCAUAACGAAGUGGUUCAAGAGGAAUGCAGUCACUAUGCAUCUAGGGAGGAUUCUCUCUCUUCACUCCAAAUUUUUCUAGAGUAUUUUUAUUUCUUUUAUAAUUUCUCUUUAGUUACCAUGGGUAACUAAAUCUUUUUAGGCUUGGGUUCUAAGAUUAACCUCUAUUCUGGUUGUUGGAUAAUUUAUGUAAAGUCUUUAUUUUAGUUAUUUAUCUUUAUGCUACUAGUUUUACUGUUGUUGCGUAAGAUUUGUCUACUAAAGCAUAAUCUACUUAGAAUAAUUGAACGUGAGUUAACUGUUAAUUAAUUCCAACAAAAUGAAUAGAGAUGAUUCAAAUUAUGUUCAAUAUUUAAGCUAACUGUGUCCUCUAUUUAAAUUAAUUGUUAUAUAUUAUAAACCUGAUAUAGCAUAGCCUAUAUAGGGCUCACAUGAAGCGAUCACAAUCGAUAAAACUAUAUUCUAUAGCUAACGGUUGAUCCUACAAUACGCUCAAUCAAUGCAAAAAUAUGUUGUCACCUAUUGGGUUCAUAUUUCUAUAAAUAACUUUGCCACGGCCAAACAGUAUUAUUUCUCUUUUGUGUUUUUUUCUUUUUAUAUCAUGAAAGGUCAAAAUAAUGGAUAUUUGUUAAAAUAAAAUAGCAUGAAUCCUUAUCAUUGAUGAGUUUUUUAUAUGACCUCCUUACUAAGCAUGAUAAAGAAACAAAUUGAACACAUUGAUGCAUUUAAGAGAUAUUUAAUAAUUAUUCUAAUUUUAAAAAGUAUCUAUAAUAUACAUAAAGAAAACUACCUCCUUUCAACACUUUUGGGUUGAAUUUUUCUUUCUAAAAAUGUCAUCAAUUUUCAAUACAAAUAAUACAUAUAAUAAAUAGACAAGAAUAAAUUUAAAUAUUAAAAAAACGUAACAAAUACGAUAUGAAUAUAUAUAUAUAUAUAUAUAUAUAUAUAUAUAUAUGUGUGUGUGUGUUUUUUUUUUCUUUAUCAUUUAAAAAGUGUAACAAACUAAAUGAGUAUAUUUAUAUUUAAUUUUUUCCAAUUACAUCUUUAAACAACUUUUUCUAUAAUAAAGAUUGUUGUUGGUGUUAUUGAAAUAAAUAAUCAUGUUUAAUUUGGUUUGUUAUACCUAGAAAGCAACAAAAAUUUAUAUUUUUAGUUUUAAUCAAAAUCAAAAUUUCAUAAAAAAAAAAAUAUAAUUCAUAAUUUUCAAAUUUUAACGCGGUAAAAAGAGUGAAAAUACGGGCACGUAAGUGCCCAUCUUUACGCUAAUUUUUAUAAUUGCAUAAGUGACUUUUUAGCUGAUGAAACGAUAUCAUAAUCUUUAUAAAUUGUAAAACCACAUUCUAUUUGUUAUAUGCAAAAGGCGAGAAAUAUGGCUAAACUUGUCAAGCUUGUUUAUGUUAUAAUUGUGUUUUAUACCCUAUUUCUUGUUGCAACGGAAAUUGUUUGUGAGCUAAUUUUUCAUACUCUUGAAAUUUCCUUUUAUUUCUUUUUAUCUCGUUUUAGUAACAUUAUUUUGUUCUUUUUCCUUCAAUACAGCGGGUAUUCCUUGUAACGAUGAUGUUGAUUGUCCACAGACUCUGUGUGAACAGUUAAUUGCCGACUUCAAGUAUAUGAUAGAUUUUAAGUCGGAGUGUGUUUCCCGUAUGUGUGCAUGUACCGGAAGUCCCGUUUAAGCUGCACUGGUGGUUGGUUUUGGUUCAAAAUGGAACAAUGAAAAAUACCUUUAAUAUUGGGUUGCUUAUAUAUUUUCACCAUAGAUGUGGAAAUCAUAAUAGGCUAUUAAUAAAAUUAUAAAUUAUACAUGUGGCCUUUAAAUAUCUUUUCUACGUACCCUUGUUAUUAAUUAAUUACUAAAAUCAAAAGAAAUUUCCUUCUCAAUUACAUGUCGUUGAGUUUUCCACCUAGAUAUGUGUUGUAUUUUUUUAUCUUAUUAAAAUAACAUAAAAUCUUAUUUACUCUCAAUCAAAAUCAAUCUAGAAUAUAAGGGUGUCUCUAUGUACUUCUCUAGGUGUGUGUUUAAUUGUUUUUUUUGUUGCAUAUAUGCAAAUAUCAAGUCAUAAAAACAUGUUUUACCUUAAUAAACACAACCAGGUGUUACUAAAAAAAUAUAAUCAUAAAAACCUAUAAUGAAAUAUAGAUAUACAAAUCAAGGAUAGAGGGAAAAGAAAUAUCUUCAAAUAAUAGAUGGAAAAUAGUGUUUUAUUUCUUUCUUCAUUACGAGAACUACGAUCUUUGGCUCUGGAACUGAAUCAUUUCCUUGUAUCUGAGAAAGACUUCCAGAUUCAAAGGAAGGAAGUUUAAUUGGACUGAAUCAGAAAUUUUAUUCUAUGAUUGAUCAGUAUAAACAUCAACACCUUCGAAUUGGAUCAGUUUCUCCUGAACAAAUAAGUGCUUGGGCAAAAAAAAUCCUACCUAAUGGAGAAAUUGUUGGAGAGGUAACAAAACCCUAUACUCUUCAUUACAAAACCAAUAAGCCUGAAAAAGAUGGAUUAUUUUGUGAACGAAUUUUUGGGCCUAUAAAAAGUGGGAUUUGUGCUUGUGGAAAUUAUCGAGUAAUCGGAGAUAAAAAAGACCAACCCAAAUUUUGUGAACAAUGCGGAGUAGAAUUUGUUGAUUCUCGGGUACGUAGGUAUCAAAUGGGGUAUAUAAAACUAGCAUGUCCAGUAACCCAUGUAUGGUAUUUGAAACGUCUUCCUAGUUAUAUUGCGAGCCUUUUAGAUAAACCUCUUAAAGAAUUAGAAGGUCUAGUAUACUGCGAUGUGUGAUUUGAUAAAAAUUCUUAUUGUACAGAUUUCAAAUGAGAAACUGUCAUUCCAUUCAAUUAAAUUGGAAUGUCCUCUAUCUGGCAUGUCUCUUGGGAUGAGUAACAUGAAGCUCAGAAUUCAUGGGUGUAUUGAAUACUCCCAAAUCAAUAAGGGAAUUGGUCUAUGGUCAAUUCAGUAACAAAUAAAUAUUUAUUUAUAACCGUACGUACCUUGUGAAAAAAAAAAAAUUAUUUUUUUGUGGAAUUAAUUAUUUCAUCUCUUUUUUUUUUAAGAACUUAAAUUAAGUUCAAAGAAUAAAAUAUAAUAUAUCAUGAUUGCCGAAGUCUAUCUAUCGCAUAUAGGCUUAAAGACAUCGUGGCAUAACCGUCGAGGUGACGUCUUGACCUAAAAGAUCAAAUGGUAUGAUACAUAGACAAAGAAAUCUCUUAUGAAUUCGAGGAUAUUCCUUUUUUUUAUUAAAAAGUAUAUUUUAAAGGAUUCUUCGUUCGAAGGGAGGUAGACUACUCAAGAAUUUUACAUUGAAUUUCUGUCGUAAUUUCGAAUUGCAUAAAGAAUUCAGAAACAAAGAAGAAUGUAUCAAUGAAAUGUUGCUUCGUCUGUAUUGAUAACUUGAGUAAAGAGUAAACCUUUUUUAUUUUAGAUUUAGAGGUUUUCAAAAAUUUGAAAACGGAAACCACUUUCUUUAUCUUUAUUGUGUGUAAAUACUUUAGCCGGAUGAGAGGAAACCCUCACGUCCGAUUUUCAAAGGGGGAGAUCCAUCUUAUUGGAUCCUAUCCAAAUUUUUCGUUUGCUAGGCCCGUAGUUAAAAAACCUACUUUCUUACGAUUACGAGGUUCAUUCGAAUACGAAAUCCAAUCUUGGAAAUACAGUAUCCCACUCUUUUUUGCUACUCAAGGUUUCGAUACAUUUCGAAAUAGAGAAAUUUCUAGUGGAGCAGGUGCUAUACGAGAACAAUUAGUUGAUUUGGAUUUAAGAAUUAUUAUGGAUUCUUCGUUGGUAGAAUGGAAAGAAUUAGGAGAAGAGGGAUCCGCCGACAAUGAAAAUGAAAAUGAAUGGGAAGAUCGAAAAGUAGGAAGAAGAAAGAAUUUUUUGGUUCGACGCAUGGAAUUAGUUAAGCACUUUAUCCGAACAAAUAUAGAACCAGAAUGGAUGGUUUUAUCUCUCUUACCAGUUCUUCCUCCCGAAUUGAGACCAAUUAUUCAAAUAGAUGGAGGGAAACUAAUGAGUUCGGAUAUUAAUGAACUCUAUAGAAGAGUUAUCUAUCGGAACAAUACUCUUAUUGACCUAUUAACAACAAGUAGAUCUACACCAGGGGAAUUAGUAAUGUGUCAAGAAAAAUUGGUACAAGAAGCCGUGGAUACACUCCUUGAUAAUGGAAUCCGCGGACAACCAAUGAGGGACGGUCAUAAUAAAGUUUACAAAUCGUUUUCAGAUAUAAUUGAGGGCAAAGAGGGAAGAUUUCGAGAGACUCUGCUUGGAAAACGAGUUGAUUAUUCGGGGCGUUCUGUUAUUGUCGUAGGUCCAUCACUUUCAUUACAUCGAUGUGGAUUGCCCCGCGAAAUAGCAAUAGAGCUAUUUCAGACAUUUCUAAUUCGUGGUUUAAUUCGAAAACAUUUUGCUUCGAACAUAGGAGUUGCUAAGAGUAAAAUACGGGAAAAAGAACCGAUUGUAUGGGAAAUACUUCAAGAAGUUAUGCGGGGGCAUCCAGUAUUGCUGAAUAGAGCGCCUACUUUGCAUAGAUUGGGCAUACAGGCAUUUCAACCUAUUUUAGUAGAAGGACGUGCUAUUUGUUUACAUCCAUUAGUGUGUAAGGGAUUCAAUGCAGACUUUGAUGGGGAUCAAAUGGCUGUUCAUGUGCCUUUAUCUUUGGAGGCUCAAGCAGAAGCUCGUUUACUUAUGUUUUCUCAUACAAACCUCUUGUCUCCGGCUAUUGGGGAUCCCAUUUCCGUACCAACUCAAGAUAUGCUUAUAGGACUUUACGUAUUAACUAGCGGAAAUCGUCGAGGUAUUUGUGCAAACAGGUAUAAUCCGUUUAAUUGCCGAAAUUCUAAAAAUGAAAAAAUUAGCAAUAAUAACUCUAAGUAUAUGAAAAAAAAAGAACCCUUUUUUUGCAAUUCCUAUGAUGCAAUUGGAGCUUAUCGACAGAAAAGAAUAAAUUUAGAUAGUCCUUUUUGGCUCCGGUGGCGAAUAGAUCAAUGCAUUAUGUCUUCAAGAGAAGUUCCUAUCGAAGUUCACUAUGAAUCUUUUGGUACCUAUUAUGAAAUUUAUGGGCAUUAUUUAGUAAUAAGAAGUAUAAAAAAAGAAAUUCGUUGUAUAUACAUUAGAACCACUGUUGGUCAUAUUUCUUUUUAUCGAGAAAUUGAAGAAGCUAUACAAGGUUUUUCUCGAGCCUAUUCAUAUGGUAUCUAAUCAUAUAGAUGGUUAGUGUUGAUAUCCAAGCUAGGUAAAUUUAUGUUAUGAUACUGGCGUAAAUUCAGGUCAACUAGCAUCUUUUCUAUUUUCUACGUGAAUAAACAUAAAGAAAAGGAAGUUUUCCAAUCAUUCACUCAAAUUCAUUGUCGAACCGAAUCCCACUGAGUGGAAUAUGGAGGUACUUAUGGCAGAACGGGCCAAUCUAGUCUUUCACUUUCUUCCAUGCUUAGUGCGCAUGAUAGAAAGAGUCGAGCUUUGGAGUUUAGAAGUACUUUUUCUUUAUCUUCCUUUGACCAUGAUGCUUCUGGUGUGAGUGUAUCCACCUUUGUUGUUGCAUCAGUUGUCAUAGGUAUAUGUUCUCCAUUUGUGAUUAUUUUCCACAUAUCCACGUCUUGGGAUCUGAGGAAUAGUUUCAUUUUUCCUUUCCAGAAAUAAUAGUUCUUUCCAUUGAAGAAUGGUGGUCUUGUGCAUGAUAGACCUUCUGGUAUGUACUUUUCUUUUGACAUUGCCUUCUUCCUGAAUCUUUUCCUCCAACACUUGUUAGGUGUUUUUGUAGAGCCCGGGCUCUGAUACCAAUUAAAGUAGCAAUAAACGUCACAAGAAAGGGGGGGUUUGAAUUGUGACCCUUUUAAAAAUUAUUCCUGAAACUUAAGUUUAGAUUUAUAUACUCAAGAAUAAUCUUGGUGUAUGUUAGCUUAACAAGAUUAGAGUAUAUAACAAUUAAUUGAAUUUAGAACAGAACAUUCUGAAGACUGAUUAUAAACAGAAUGAGAAAAAUGAUGUUAAGUUAAAAGAUUAUUUUAGCAAGGACCAGAAUGUUCUGGAGAUUAAUAAAAUAAUGUGUGUGUGUGUUGUGUAACUUUAAAUAAAGAGAGAGAUAGAGAUAGAGAGAGAGAGAGAGAAGAAUAACACAGGAGAGUUAUCCUGGUUCACCAAACCCGGCUACUUCCAGUCCCCACACCUCGUGUGAGAUUAUCCACUAUAGUUUUCUUGCUAACAGAAACUUCUGACUAGCACUACAAUAUCUUGAUCACACCAGAUCAGUCCGUAACCUCUGUAUUAUCAACCUCAGCAGGCUUAUACAAUUCUUUGCACACUAGCAAAAGAAAGGUUGGAAUUUUCUAUCUCAAAACUAUUAAGCCCAAUAGACUUUGAGAAAUACAACACUCUUUGUAUGAAGAGAUUUGUUUUGGAUCGAAUAAAUACUCAAAUCUUUGUUUGAGUUUUACAAGAGGCAAAUUCAAGAGAGAUGAUCCAAGAGAUAUAGUGAGAGAGCUUGGAAUUUGCUUUGUUUGUGAAGAGCUUUGUUUGUAGUGAUGAUUUUCACUUUGAGAGAUAUUAGCUUGCAAAACUCUUGCUUAUGACCUUCAAAGGCCCUUGUAUUUAUAGGUGAGGAGUGUCUUGGUACCAAGGGAGAAAAUAGAGCUGUUGGACACGUUUUUGAUAGCUGUCCAAAGUCUCAAUUGAUUUCUCUUUUCUUCUUUAAAAUAGCCAGAACGUUCUCAGAAUGUUCUUUCUGAUUUGCCUGACUUAGAAAGCACUGUUGCUUUGCUUGCGCAUGAGAUAACCAGCUGUGAUGAGCUGUAUAACUUGCAGCCCACUUCUGAUGAUGUCAUGUCCUUUUGCUCUAGUGAUGUCAUGCUUAAGUAAGCCAUGUGAUCUUAUCCAUUUAAUGGGCUUUACUUUUUCAAAUGGGCUUAAAGCUUUUCUUAUGGCCCAAUAGACAUAAUCAGCCAAGCUUUCUUGCUGUGCAGACUUGUUCGCUUUUGAUGUACUGUUCCAUUUUCAUCGUUUUCGCCAGAACGUUCUCAAUUCAUUCUCAUGAAACAAAUUCUCACAAAAACGAAUUAGUAGAUAACAAGAUUAAAUAAAUAUAAUAUGUUUGUAAUCUUUAAAACAUCAAAUAAGGAUUUUGUCUCAACAACUUUGUCCUCCGCACGAUUUAUUAGGAGCUUUGUCCUCCGCACGUUUAAAGUAUAUUAAUACUUAUGAUGACGAUUGGUACCACAUGCAUAUAAGGAGUCUAAGAGCAUUGUCGCAUUGUCGUGUCUAAGAUGCUAUGUUGUUGAUGAUGAUUGAAUAUGUGAUUACGUGAUAAUUGUUUAUCAAAUAUGCAAAGUUGUUUAAGAUUGAAUAUGAUGUUAAUGUUAAUUUAUGAUUCGAAUUACAUUGAUUAAUAUUAUUUUGUUAUGAAAUCUCACCCCUUCUGCUUGAAAAUGUUGCCCUUCGUAUGGGUAACUUGCAGGUGAUCGUGCUUAGUGUGCAGUUUGCCGUUGUGAGUGGCCUUGCCUCGCUGUGUCGUCUAGGUCGCUCUGAUACGUAACGGGAUGGGGUUUUAUGUUAUGCAUGCUUCAUUCUCUUACGUAACUAAUAUGUUAUUUUUAUAAUAUUAUCAAUUAUGAUUUGAAAUAUUUUGAUGGGGCCUGCGUGCCGAAACGUUUUAUGGAUUAUGAUAUAAUUUCCGCUGCAAUGUUUAAGUUAUUUGGUUAAAUUAUUAUUUAACUGUUUUGGAUUAUGUUAUAUGUGAUAUCCCGUUGUUUACGAUGCUUACUCUGAUAAAUGUUUUAAGAAAUUUUUAUAUUGGGAAAACGGAGUGUUACAGAAACUCCCCCUAUAAAUACCGCAUUCCUCAUUCACAAUUUCUCAUUCAUAACGAAGUGGUUCAAGAGGAAUGCAGUCACUAUGCAUCUAGGGAGGAUUCUCUCUCUUCACUCCAAAUUUUUCUAGAGUAUUUUUAUUUCUUUUAUAAUUUCUCUUUAGUUACCAUGGGUAACUAAAUCUUUUUAGGCUUGGGUUCUAAGAUUAACCUCUAUUCUGGUUGUUGGAUAAUUUAUGUAAAGUCUUUAUUUUAGUUAUUUAUCUUUAUGCUACUAGUUUUACUGUUGUUGCGUAAGAUUUGUCUACUAAAGCAUAAUCUACUUAGAAUAAUUGAACGUGAGUUAACUGUUAAUUAAUUCCAACAAAAUGAAUAGAGAUGAUUCAAAUUAUGUUCAAUAUUUAAGCUAACUGUGUCCUCUAUUUAAAUUAAUUGUUAUAUAUUAUAAACCUGAUAUAGCAUAGCCUAUAUAGGGCUCACAUGAAGCGAUCACAAUCGAUAAAACUAUAUUCUAUAGCUAACGGUUGAUCCUACAAUACGCUCAAUCAAUGCAAAAAUAUGUUGUCACCUAUUGGGUUCAUAUUUCUAUAAAUAACUUUGCCACGGCCAAACAGUAUUAUUUCUCUUUUGUGUUUUUUUCUUUUUAUAUCAUGAAAGGUCAAAAUAAUGGAUAUUUGUUAAAAUAAAAUAGCAUGAAUCCUUAUCAUUGAUGAGUUUUUUAUAUGACCUCCUUACUAAGCAUGAUAAAGAAACAAAUUGAACACAUUGAUGCAUUUAAGAGAUAUUUAAUAAUUAUUCUAAUUUUAAAAAGUAUCUAUAAUAUACAUAAAGAAAACUACCUCCUUUCAACACUUUUGGGUUGAAUUUUUCUUUCUAAAAAUGUCAUCAAUUUUCAAUACAAAUAAUACAUAUAAUAAAUAGACAAGAAUAAAUUUAAAUAUUAAAAAAACGUAACAAAUACGAUAUGAAUAUAUAUAUAUAUAUAUAUAUAUAUAUAUAUGUGUGUGUGUGUUUUUUUUUUCUUUAUCAUUUAAAAAGUGUAACAAACUAAAUGAGUAUAUUUAUAUUUAAUUUUUUCCAAUUACAUCUUUAAACAACUUUUUCUAUAAUAAAGAUUGUUGUUGGUGUUAUUGAAAUAAAUAAUCAUGUUUAAUUUGGUUUGUUAUACCUAGAAAGCAACAAAAAUUUAUAUUUUUAGUUUUAAUCAAAAUCAAAAUUUCAUAAAAAAAAAAAUAUAAUUCAUAAUUUUCAAAUUUUAACGCGGUAAAAAGAGUGAAAAUACGGGCACGUAAGUGCCCAUCUUUACGCUAAUUUUUAUAAUUGCAUAAGUGACUUUUUAGCUGAUGAAACGAUAUCAUAAUCUUUAUAAAUUGUAAAACCACAUUCUAUUUGUUAUAUGCAAAAGGCGAGAAAUAUGGCUAAACUUGUCAAGCUUGUUUAUGUUAUAAUUGUGUUUUAUACCCUAUUUCUUGUUGCAACGGAAAUUGUUUGUGAGCUAAUUUUUCAUACUCUUGAAAUUUCCUUUUAUUUCUUUUUAUCUCGUUUUAGUAACAUUAUUUUGUUCUUUUUCCUUCAAUACAGCGGGUAUUCCUUGUAACGAUGAUGUUGAUUGUCCACAGACUCUGUGUGAACAGUUAAUUGCCGACUUCAAGUAUAUGAUAGAUUUUAAGUCGGAGUGUGUUUCCCGUAUGUGUGCAUGUACCGGAAGUCCCGUUUAAGCUGCACUGGUGGUUGGUUUUGGUUCAAAAUGGAACAAUGAAAAAUACCUUUAAUAUUGGGUUGCUUAUAUAUUUUCACCAUAGAUGUGGAAAUCAUAAUAGGCUAUUAAUAAAAUUAUAAAUUAUACAUGUGGCCUUUAAAUAUCUUUUCUACGUACCCUUGUUAUUAAUUAAUUACUAAAAUCAAAAGAAAUUUCCUUCUCAAUUACAUGUCGUUGAGUUUUCCACCUAGAUAUGUGUUGUAUUUUUUUAUCUUAUUAAAAUAACAUAAAAUCUUAUUUACUCUCAAUCAAAAUCAAUCUAGAAUAUAAGGGUGUCUCUAUGUACUUCUCUAGGUGUGUGUUUAAUUGUUUUUUUUGUUGCAUAUAUGCAAAUAUCAAGUCAUAAAAACAUGUUUUACCUUAAUAAACACAACCAGGUGUUACUAAAAAAAUAUAAUCAUAAAAACCUAUAAUGAAAUAUAGAUAUACAAAUCAAGGAUAGAGGGAAAAGAAAUAUCUUCAAAUAAUAGAUGGAAAAUAGUGUUUUAUUUCUUUCUUCAUUAGGAGAUUUUCUAAGCUAAUAGGGUAAUUAAAAUCUUAAAUUUAAUCAUGCACAUUUAAACAAGAUGUGUGAAGAUGAAUUUGCUUCAAUCAAUUAGAAAGAAAAACAAAGAAGCAAUGAAAGUUGGGUUUAAUUUUACCUAAGAUAUUAUGAUAUGCAUACAUAAACAUUUUUUACCUACGAUAUUAUGAUAUGCAUACAUAAACAAAUUUUUUUGGCAAAAUUACAUUAAUAGUGUCCCUUAACUUAAUUUUAGGUAACGUUUUGGUCCUUUAUCUUAUUUUUUUAAUCCUUUAUCUUUUUAAAUGUUAACACUAUUAUCCCUUUUCUACAAAAACCCAACAAAUUCAUAACAAAAAUAAGUUGUUCAUCAAUAAACCUAUAUUUUCAUCAACAAAUACCAAAAACCCAGAUAUUUAUAAAAAUUCCAGAGAGAAAAAAAUGCAUUCAACUUCAGUUUUUGUUUCACAUAAACGUACUGAUUAUCAAAAUUAACAAAAGAUAUGAAUAAGUGUUCUGAGGGUAGGUGCAUUUAGCACACAAAACCAACACUCCAAAACCAUUAAGCAUUCAAAACCCAAAAGCAAUAAUAAGCUCCAGGUUUGUAAUUCAGAACUCUCUCUUUCACAAAGGCAAAGUGGCAGUAAGGCAAAUUGACAGUAAGGGUUUGAGUUUAUUUAAUUGAGAGAAGUGGGUUGAUAGAUGGUGGUGAUGUUGUUGGGGAAGAGCUGAAUUGGUGUAGGUUGUAUAAGAGGUUGGAAAUGUGAUUCAUUUUCAGCAUGAAAUGAUGAUAGAGCGCACAAAUAUGAUAUAGGAAAACAGAAAUGGUGAAGGGGAUUUUAUGAAGAUAUGUAUUUCUGGGUUUUAUUAUGAUGAAGAUAUGAGUUUUUUGUUAUGAAUUUGCUGGGUUUUUGUAGAAAAAGGAUAAUAUUGUUAACAUUUAAAAAGAUAAAGGAUUGAAAUGGGAAGAAAAAAAAUAAGAUAAAGGACCAAAACAUUACCUAAAAUUAAGUUAAGAAAUUAUUAGUGUAAUUUUGCCAUUUUUUUACAUAAGAUUAAUUUUCAUAUACUAUUAGGACUCGUUUAAUUGGUUAUGAUAAGAGAUAGAUAAGAUAAUUGUACCAUAUUCGACCUUAAUUCAAUGUUUGAUGAGACAACAACAUAAUUAAUUCUAAGAUUCUUUUCCCACAACAUGUAAGACAAGAUAUAAUAGUUUUAUUCUCCCAAUGUACAUUAAAACCCUUAUGUGAGGCUUAAGAGAGAUACAAGUAAAUGUUGAGAAAGUGUCUCAAUCAGGGGUGAAGUUAUAAGGGAGACCAGCAUAGACCAUAACCCCCUUCAAACUAUUUUCUAUUUUUUUAAUUUGUUUAUACUGGUGGGUAUUACUGCUAAUUGUUUGCAAGUCUUUUUAUUAUCAGAUUCAAAGGUUGCAGAAGCCUUAGCUAUGCGGAAGGUUUUGGAAUUUAUGAAAGACAUGUCUUUUCUGAAUCUUAUAGCAGAAUCAAAUGCUUCUAAUAUGGUCUUGGUGUUAAAUGCUCUCCAACAAUAUGGUCUUUAAUGUAUGUCUUCGUAGUUUAAAUUUUAAGCAUGUUAAGCGUGAAGCCAACCAAAGCUGCUCACUAUUUAGCUAAAUAGUAUGAUCUUCAUAAUUUAGAUUGCAUAUGAAUCGAAAAUAUUCUGUCUUAUAUUUAUGCAAUCUUGACAUUUGAUUUAUUGGUAAACUUUUUAUUAAUAAAAUUUUCUUUUAACUUAAAAAAAAGGGCGGAGGGAGUGAUUCUCUUUAAUGAAAUUUUCAAUUCUCUCUCUUUGGUCUUGUCAAACGAAU
rnacentral:lncRNA from 1 species